AAAAAAAAAAAAAAAUGAACGGAGAAAUUAGUACAAAUAUUGCAGAAAACAUGAGCGUGGAAAAAAAUGUAAACAAUAAUAGUAUUGAAUAUAACCAUAUUUUUGAUAAUAGUUUGAAUAAUAAUUUGGAUUAUAAUUUGAACGACAGUUCAAACGACAGCUUUAGAAAAAAUUCGAACAAAAGUUUCAGCAGAAGUUCGAGCAAAAAUUCCAGCAGAAGUUCGAGCAAAAAUUCCAGCAGAAGUUCGAGCAAAAGUUCGAGCAAAAGUUCGAACAAAAAUUUACAUAAAAAAUUUAACGAAAACGUGUACGAGAAUUUUAGUUCUAGCAUUCAUACUAAUAUUAGUAUAAAUGACAAAAAUAAAUUGAAUACAGAUAAUGAAGGUAAUUGCAAUAGCAUAAACGUUGUGAGUAAAGUAGAGCAACAUGAUGUUAAUAAUGGUAUUAAUGAAACUGAUAGUAAUGAAAAUAAUAAAAGAAGUGAUGACACUAAUAAUAACAAUCUUGACGGUAGUAAAGAAAAUGAAAUUAAUGAAAAGAACAAUUUCGAAAAUGAUGAAGGAAUACAAUUAGCAGUAAAAAUUGCUUUGCAAAUUUUAUUAAAAAAACAACCAGUUCCUAUUAGAAGGGAUGAUUUAUUUAACAUUCUAAAUAUGUUUGUACCAAAUAGUAAUAGUAAUUUAAAAAGAAAAAUAGUUAUAGAGCUUUUGGAUAAACAUGUUAAUAAUAUUUUAGCAUUAAAUUUAUUAACUUUGCGUACUAAAACAAAAACAGAAUAUGUACUAUCACAACAUGUUACUUAUAAAGAACACAACAAUUUAUUGCUAUCAAAUUUUGAUCAUAAUAUAAGAGGAUUUUUAAUUUUUCUUAUUCCUUUUUUUAAAGCUUUUCAUAAUAAACUACCAUUCAAUUAUUUAUUAUAUGUAAUGAAUACUGUCGGGCACAAAAUUAAUAAAACAAAAGAAGAAGUAAUAAGCACAUUGAAAUCACCAUUAGUUUUCGCAAAUAUUGUGAAUAAUAUAAACUUAAAAAAAGAACUUCUCGACCCAUUAGAUUAUUUAAUUUAUUGUAAAAGAUUAUCUUAUAUAGAUUUUAUGUUUGAUCAAUCUGAUAUUAAUAAUAGUAAUAAUAAUAGUAAUAA
rnacentral:lncRNA from 1 species